rfam:Dichomitus squalens LYAD-421 SS1 unplaced genomic scaffold DICSQscaffold_35, whole genome shotgun sequence.
UGCCCCAUGGCUGAGUUGGUUACAGCGUCCGACUGUUACUCUUCGCAAUCGGAAGGUCGUGAGUUCGAGCCUCACUGGGGCAG